GGGGGAGCCAGCAUUAACACAUACUACUAGGAGACAUGUGAGGAGUUUUGUUUCCAAGAUAAUAUUUAUUUCACUAAAUAUGAACUUACUUGGAUAAGCCUUAUGUAGAAAUAUAGACUGUAGUCCAAUCAGCCUCUUGGUUCCUGCUCUGCGUGAGUUCUUGCCCUGACUUCCCUCCAUGAUGGGCUGUGACCUGAGCUUUGUAAGUCGAGUUAAACUUCUUCCUUUCCC
rnacentral:lncRNA from 1 species